rnacentral:rRNA from 1 species
GAUGAACGCUAGCUACAGGCUUAACACAUGCAAGUCGAGGGGAAACGGCAUUGAGUGCUUGCACUCUUUGGACGUCGACCGGCGCACGGGUGAGUAACGCGUAUCCAACCUUCCCAUUACUGUGGGAUAACCUGCCGAAAGGCAGACUAAUACCGCAUAGUCUUCGAUGACGGCAUCAGAUUUGAAGUAAAGAUUUAUCGGUAAUGGAUGGGGAUGCGUCUGAUUAGCUUGUUGGCGGGGUAACGGCCCACCAAGGCGACGAUCAGUAGGGGUUCUGAGAGGAAGGUCCCCCACAUUGGAACUGAGACACGGUCCAAACUCCUACGGGAGGCAGCAGUGAGGAAUAUUGGUCAAUGGACGGAAGUCUGAACCAGCCAAGUAGCGUGCAGGAGGACGGCCCUAUGGGUUGUAAACUGCUUUUGGAUGGGGAUAAAGUUAGGGACGUGUCCCUAUUUGCAGGUACCAUACGAAUAAGGACCGGCUAAUUCCGUG